GUAUAUGACCUCACGGAAGUUCGUGGAAGAUGUCUGGCAGUAGGCUUCACUGUUGUAUCUUCAGUUGUGUUAAGCGGCUUUACAACAACCUUCUCCUGAACAAGAGGCAGUGGUGGCGGAGGUGGAGGUGGAGGUGGAGGUGGAGGUGGAGGUGGAGGUGGAGGUGGAGGUGGAGGUGGUGGAGGUGGUGGGGGCGGUGGUGACAUCAAGUCAAUAUCAAAUCUACUCAUGUCUAUC
rnacentral:lncRNA from 1 species